rnacentral:rRNA from 1 species
GACGAACGCUGGCGGCGUGCUUAACACAUGCAAGUCGAGCGGAAAGGCCCCUUCGGGGGUACUCGAGCGGCGAACGGGUGAGUAACACGUGAGUAAUCUGCCCUUCACUUUGGGAUAACCCCCGGAAACGGGUGCUAAUACCGGAUACGACCGGCAACCGCAUGGUUUGUUGGUGGAAACGUUUUGGGUGGGGGAUGUGCUCGCGGCCUAUCAGCUUGUUGGUGGGGUAAUGGCCUACCAAGGCUUUGACGGGUAGCCGACCUGAAAGGGUGACCGGCCACACUGGGACUGAGACACGGCCCAGACUCCUACGGGAGGCAGCAGUGGGGAAUAUUGGACAAUGGGCGGAAGCCUGAUCCAGCAACGCCGCGUGAGGGAUGACGGCCUUCGGGUUGUAAACCUCUUUCAGCACCGACGAAGCGCAAGUGACGGUAGGUGCAGAAGAAGGACCGGCCAACUACGUGCCAGCAGCCGCGGUAACAC